rnacentral:rRNA from 1 species
AGAAUCAACGCUGGCGGCGUGCCUAACACAUGCAAGUCGAACGAGAAAGUGGGAGCAAUCCCACGAGUAAAGUGGCGCACGGGUGAGUAACAUGUGACUAACCUACCCUUGAGUGGGGGAUAACCUAGGGAAACCUGGGCUAAUACCGCAUAAUACCUACGGGUCAAAGGAGCAAUUCGCUUUAGGAGGGGUCGCGGCAGAUUAGUUAGUUGGCGGGGUAAUGGCCCACCAAGACAGUGAUCUGUA